rnacentral:rRNA from 1 species
UACGGAGGAGGCAAGCGUUAUCCGGAAUUAUUGGGCGUAAGCGUCCGCAGGUGGCACCUCAAGUCUGCUGUCAAAGACCGGGGCUUAACCCCAGAAAGGCAGUGGAAACUGAAGCGCUAGAGUGCAGUAGGGGUAGAGGGAAUUCCCGGUGUAGCGGUGAAAUGCGUAGAGAUCGGGAAGAACAUCGGUGGCGAAAGCGCUCUGCUGGACUGCAACUGACACUCAGGGACGAAAGCUAGGGGAGCGAAUGGG